GUGACUCACUUUGGUAGCAUGUAUACUACAAUUGGAAUGAAACAGAGAUUAGCAUGGCCCCUGGAUUAUGUUCCGAUUCAUGAAAGGCUAUAUUUUUUU
ensembl:snRNA U6 U6 spliceosomal RNA